GGCAGUAUGGUCUAUGUGGUAAGGGAAACUGAUCUGAUCUCAGCAGAUCUGGGUUCAAAUCCCAGUUUAGCUA
rnacentral:tRNA from 1 species